GGCUCUGUGCUUUACAUAAAGAGUCUAAUCUGCCCAGUGACUUAUAAAGUUUAACGGCCGCAGUAUCCUGACUGUGCAAAGGUAGCAUAAUAAUUUGCCCUAUAAUUGAGGGCUGGCAUGAAUGAUUGAAUGGAAUGUAACUGUCUCUAAAAGGAUUUAUAGAAUUUAAGAUAUAUGUGAAGACGCAUAUAUAUAAUUAAGGGACGAGAAGACCCUAUCGAGCUUGAGGUCUCAAGCUAUUAUAUAGCUUUAAUACCUUUGGUUGGGGCAACCCAAGAACAUAAAAAGUUUCUUGUAAAAAUAUUGAUCCAAUAUGAUUGAUUGCAGAUUUAGUUACCGUAGGGAUAACAGCAUAAUUCUUUUAUAGAGUCCUUAUCGAAAUACAUUUGUGACCUCGAUGUUGGACUAAGAUACCUGUGGGAGCAGCUG
rnacentral:rRNA from 1 species